AUGGACGUAUCUAAAGGCUUCCUUAGACGAGACAAAACUCUCCAAUUAGUAAGGCAAGAUUCAAGGCCUCUAGCCAUGAAGCAUAGAUUAUCAUGCAAAGCUGAUGAUAUUGAUAGCAUUGAAGAAGUUAUAGAUAUACAAAGAGAUCUAGAAAGAUAUCAAAAAGAUACCCUAAGAAAAAUAAAACCACAACAAGUAUAUCACAUGGGUUUGUUUGAAAGUAAGAGUGGUCUAUACAGAAUAUCUCGAGAAGUAGAAUUAAGUGUGUUAACACACCCAGUAGAUUUAAGAACUGUAAGCAAAAAUAUUGAAAAUGAACUAAAAUAUUGUGGUUAUAAAUAUAUUCAUCAAGAUGAUGUGGGACUACAUAAUUUAGAGAAUGCAAUGGAAGCCCUGGAAGUAGAAAGUACUGGUAAAAGAAGAAGGGGAUAUGGAGAAUCAUCUGUAAAAAGGGAAGGAGAAAGAGAGAGACCUACCAGAUCAGCUGGACAAUGGCCUCCAGAAAAAGAUGACUAUCAACCUACGUAUAUCCCUGGACAAUAUAAAUAUAUGGGUACUAAAAGAAGAGAUAUUGAAAAACCAGUGCAAUUUCAAAUUUAUAAGAACGGUGGCGCUAUAUUAAACCUAGCAGCUCAUGAUCCAAUAGAUUGGCCGAAUAUAAUUAGCAUAUGGAAAGCUUUAAUAGUUCAAAAAUAUAUACAAAAUCAGUAUAGCAUAGGCACUAAGGUAGAAGAUAUGCUAACAUAUCUUGAAACAUUUUUAGGAGAAUCUGUAAAAGUUCUUUGGGAGCAAUGGGUAGAAUCAUACCCUAGUCAAUAUGAAGAAUUAAAAAGGGCAGGAAGUAACCCUAAUAACUUUGCGAAUGUUAUCUCAAAUAUGAUCAUAGCAGAAGAUCCAGAAUUAGGUCAUACCUCAUUGCAAAAUGAAAGGUUAAGAGAAAUAGAAAAAUUAACAUUAACUAGCUGGAAAGGUAUUAAAGAGUUUUCCCAGCAUUAUUUGUAUAAUGCUACUACUGCUAAACAAGGUUUUAAUGUAGGCGUAGUAGAAAGAUAUUUUAAUAAGUUGCCUGACCCUCUAGGGUCAAUAAUAUUUGAAGAAUAUAAAAAGGAAACGACGGGAAAAGUGGUAAAUAUAUCUCAAGCUGUAACAUUUGUUUUCAAACAAUUAAGAAAGGUGUGUACUAGUAUUCAAGCCCAAAGAUCUAUGAAGAAAUCAGAUUAUAAUUUUUGCAAUAACAUAGUCCAAAUACGACUUACAUAUGGAGAAGAAAGGCAUAGGAAAAACAAAUAUUAUAAACCACAAAGGAGAGAUAAUAGAAAUUUUAGAACAAAGAAAAGAUAUUUAUUAAGAAGAUCAGACAAUAGAGCCCCAUUUUUGCAUAAAAGAAAUGUAAGAAGAUAUAAUCCCAAGAAAACCUAUGAUAAAACAUGUAGGUGUUUCAUAUGUAACUCUCCUGAUCAUCUAAGUAGAACUUUCCCUAAAGACCAGAAUAGAUACUCUAGCAAAUAUGAAGAACAAGAGAGAGUGUUAAUUAUAGAUAGCGUUAAUGAAAAUAUAUUAGUAUGUGAUGAUGAAAUAAAGGACGACGAGUCAAUAUAUUCAAUUAUAGAAACAGAUGAAGUAGAAAAUGAGGCUCCAAAAUAUGAAUCAAGUGAAGAUGAAAUAGACCUAAUAGAUGAUUUAGCCGGUUUAAAAAUUGAAAUGAUGAACCAAGUAGAUUGUGAACAUGAUUGGAUUAGAGGAAAAGGUGAUUAUAACAUAAAAUGUGCUUUCUGUAUAUAUUACCCAAGUCAAGAUAAUAGGUUCACUUGUAGCUUGUGUUUAAAACAAGCAUGUGCCUCAUGUCUAAGAGCCAAUAAUCAAAAAUGGAGACAAGAGAUAGAAUUGGAACCCGAAGAGCGAAUAUUAUCCAGUAGGGUUCGAAAUUUAGAAAAUAGAAUAAAUAAGCUAGAAGCAGAGCUAGAAAAACUUAAAGAUGAGUUAGAAAAUAGUAAAGAGGAAAAUGAUAAUGUUCCAAAAAACACAAAAAUGAAAGAUCAAAUGAUAACAGUAAGGGAUAAAAAAGGAGACAAAUUAAUACAAUUGAAAGAUGCAAUUACUAGUUUUGGAAACAAAUAUAUUGUUCGAUUACCAUUCAAAGAAGUGUUAGGAAUAAGGAUCCCAGUUAAGAUUGUUCUGAAGCCAAAUAUUUCAUAUAAAAUACUGGCACUAUUAGAUACUGGUUGCACUAAGAAUAUCAUCCAUGAUAAAUAUUUUAUGAGAUGUCCCGAAAUAGUUGAAACUAUAGAUGAUAAUAAAGCUGAAGUAUCUACCGAUAUGUCAGGAAUAAAGAAGAUCCAUAAUCAGCUAGCAUAUAAUAUUGAAGCUUACAUAAAUGGCACAAAAUAUAUAAUAGAUGAAAUUACAAUAAGAGAUUUCACUAGUAGAAAAAGGACCUAA
rnacentral:rRNA from 1 species